UUCUUUUCGAGAUAGUCUUUCCUCUGAUGUGUUUCAAUGACAAUGAUCAAAAGCUUUGGGAUGAAGACCCUCAUGAAUAUGUUAGGAAAGGUUAUGAUAUUAUUGAGGAUUUGUACAGUCCGAGGACUGCUUCGAUGGAUUUUGUCAGUGAAUUGGUUAGAAAACGUGGGAAGGAGAACCUUCAAAAGUUUAUUCAAUUCAUUGUAGAAAUUUUUAAGAGGUAUGAUGAAGCACCAGUAGAAUAUAAACCCUAUCGACAAAAAGAUGGUGCUCUACUC
rnacentral:misc_RNA from 1 species